CCUACGGGUGGCAGCAGUGGGGGAUAUUGCACAAUGGGGGGAACCCUGAUGCAGCGACGCCGCGUGGGUGAAGAAGCGCCUCGGCGCGUAAAGCCCUGUCAGCAGGGAAGAAAAUGACGGUACCUGACGAAGAAGCCCCGGCUAACUACGUGCCAGCCGCCGCGGUAAUACGUAGGGGGCAAGCGUUAUCCGGAUUUACUGGGGGUAAAGGGGGCGCAGACGGCGAUGCAAGCCAGGAGUGAAAGCCCGGUGCCCAACCCCGGGACUGCUCUUGGAACUGCGUGGCUGGAGUGCAGGAGGGGCAGGCGGAAUUCCUGGUGUAGCGGUGAAAUGCGUAGAUAGCAGGAGGAACACCGGUGGCGAAGGCGGUCUGCUGGACAGCAACUGACGGUGAGGCGCGAAAGCGUGGGGAGCAAACAGGAUUAGAUACCCGGGUAGUC
rnacentral:rRNA from 1 species